rnacentral:lncRNA from 1 species
AUGGACAGCAGUCCUGGACAGUCUAUACUGGGCAGUCUCCCAGGAGAGAGUGCGGUGGUUGAUUCCAAAUCAGCAUGGUUGCCGCGCGGUUGGAGCGCUUGGCAAGUGAAGACUGGACCUGUGGGUGGGGCCGGGGCGGGGCUGGCUCGGGGGUGGGGCAAGCGAGGGGCGGGGUCAGGUGCUGGGUCGUCUCCGCUUGUCAAAAGGCAGCCGCGGAUCCCCGGGCGCCGGGAGCGCGGAGCAGCGUGCCCACCGGCAGGACCAGAGUCCUUUUGGUUGGAAGUAUCUGCAAGCCCUCACAGAAGGGCACCCCUUGGCCUGACUUCCCUGUCCCCCUGCUCCUACAGGCGGAGCAUGAAGCGGAAGGCGCUCUUCACCUGUCCCUUCAACGGAGACUGCCGCAUCACCAAGGACAACCGCCGCCACUGCCAGGCCUGCCGGCUCAAGCGCUGUAUUGACAUCGGCAUGAUGAAGGAAUUCAUCCUGACUGAUGAAGAGGUGCAGCGGAAACGGGAGAUGAUCCUCAAGCGGAAGGAGGAGGAGGCCUUGAAGGACAGCCUGCGGCCGAAGCUGUCGGAGGAGCAGCAGCGCAUCAUCACCACCCUGCUGGACGCCCACCACAAGACCUACGAUGACACCUACUCCGACUUCAGCCAGUUCCGACCUCCAGUUCGCAAGGAUGAGGACGAGGGGAACCAUGCUUCGAGGUCGAUACUCACUCCCAGCUUCUCUGGAAACUCGUCGUCCUCCUGUUCGGAUCACUAUACCUCCUCUCCAGACACAACGGAGCCAACCAGCUUUUCCAACCAGCAUCAGAGUGAAGAAGACUCCGAUGACCCUUCUGUGACCCUGGACCUGUCCCAGCUCUCCAUGCUGCCCCACCUGGCUGACCUGGUCAGUUACAGCAUCCAAAAGGUCAUUGGCUUUGCCAAGAUGAUCCCAGGGUUCAGAGACCUCACCGCUGACGACCAGAUCGUGCUGCUGAAGUCGAGUGCCAUUGAGGUCAUCAUGCUGCGCUCCAACCAGUCCUUCACCCUGGACGACAUGUCCUGGACCUGUGGCAGCCCGGACUACAAGUACCAAGUCAGCGACGUGACCAGAGGUGCGGCUGGGUUCUGCCUCCACCUGCCUAAGCUCCACCCCUCCUGGGGUCGUGUGCCCCACCAGGCACUUCAGAGGGAGGGAGGUAGCAACUGGGGGAGAAGGGCGAGGGUCAGGCCAGAGGGUGGGUGGAGUGGGGGGGAUGGCCCCUGCAGAUGCCCACAGCAGCGGGCCGUUCUCUCUUGUAGCUGGACACAGCCUGGAGCUCAUCGAGCCCCUCAUCAAGUUCCAGGUGGGGCUGAAGAAGCUGAAUUUGCACGAAGAGGAACAUGUCCUGCUCAUGGCCAUCUGCAUUGUCUCCCCAGACCGCCCCGGAGUGCAGGACGCCGCGCUGGUCGAGGCCAUCCAGGACCGCCUGUCCAACACGCUGCAGACCUACAUCCGCUGCCGCCACCCGCCCCCAGGCAGCCACCUGCUCUAUGCCAAGAUGAUCCAGAAGCUGGCGGACCUGCGCAGCCUGAACGAGGAGCACUCCAAGCAGUACCGCUGCCUCUCAUUCCAGCCCGAGUCCAGCAUGAAGCUCACACCCCUCCUGCUCGAGGUGUUUGGCAACGAGAUCUCCUGACUCUGGCAGCCUGUACUGGCGCCUGGGAAGGGCGGCCUCUCCAGGGCUGGGCACUCAGGCCUGGGGCUGGCGGCUGCCCAGCAGCCCUUUCCACACCUGCUGGGGUUCAUCCCCUCCUCUCUUGCCUCUCCUCCCCAGCUGGCCCAUCCUCUCUCCUGCCCCAUCUAACGCCAGGUCCCCCUCACCUGCAGGCCACAGGCUGCCCUCCCAACCCACCCCCACUUCCCUCAAGGCCUCAGUCAUGA